CCUGGUGUAGCGGUGAAAUGCGCAGAUAUCAGGAGGAACACCGGUGGCGAAGGCGGGUCUCUGGGCAGUAACUGACGCUGAGGAGCGAAAGCGUGGGUAGCGAACAGGAUUAGAUACCCUGGUAGUCCACGCCGUAAACGGUGGGCGCUAGGUGUGGGUUUCCUUCCACGGGAUCCGUGCCGUAGCCAACGCAUUAAGCGCCCCGCCUGGGGAGUACGGCCGCAAGGCUAAAACUCAAAGGAAUUGACGGGGGCCCGCACAAGCGGCGGAGCAUGUGGAUUAAUUCGAUGCAACGCGAAGAACCUUACCUGGGUUUGACAUGUACCGGACGACUGCAGAGAUGUGGUUUCCCUUGUGGCCGGUAGACAGGUGGUGCAUGGCUGUCGUCAGCUCGUGUCGUGAGAUGUUGGGUUAAGUCCCGCAACGAGCGCAACCCUUGUCCUGUGUUGCCAGCACGUGAUGGUGGGGACUCGCAGGAGACUGCCGGGGUCAACUCGGAGGAAGGUGGGGACGACGUCAAGUCAUCAUGCCCCUUAUGUCCAGGGCUUCACACAUGCUACAAUGGUCGGUACAGAGGGCUGCGAUACCGUGAGGUGGAGCGAAUCCCUUAAAGCCGGUCUCAGUUCGGAUCGGGGUCUGCAACUCGACCCCGUGAAGUCGGAGUCGCUAGUAAUCGCAGAUCAGCAACGCUGCGGUGAAUACGUUCCCGGGCCUUGUACACACCGCCCGUCACGUCAUGAAAGUCGGUAACACCCGAAGCCGGUGGCCUAACCCCUCGUGGGAGGGAGCCGUCGUAUAUAAUUAGACAAUUGA
rnacentral:rRNA from 1 species